GAUGAACGCUGGCGGCGUGCCUAAUACAUGCAAGUCGAGCGAAUGGAUUAAGAGCUUGCUCUUAUGAAGUUAGCGGCGGACGGGUGAGUAACACGUGGGUAACCUGCCCAUAAGACUGGGAUAACUCCGGGAAACCGUGGCUAAUACCGGAUAAUACUUUGAACUGCAUGGUUCAAAAUUGAAAGGCGGCUUCGGCUGUCACUUACGGAUGGACACGCGUCGCAUUAGCUAGUUGGUGAGGUAACGGCUCACCAAGGCAACGAUGCGUAGCCGACCUGAGAGGGUGAUCGGCCCCACUGGGACUGAGACACGGCCCAGACUCCUACGGGAGGCAGCAGUAGGGAAUCUUCCGCAAUGGACGAAAGUCUGACGGAGCAACGCCGCGUGAGUGAUGAAGGCUUUCGGGUCGUAAAACUCUGUUGUUAGGGAAGAACAAGUGCUAGUUGAAUAAGCUGGCACCUUGACGGUACCUAACCAGAAAGCCACGGCUAACUACGUGCCAGCCGCCGCGGUAA
rnacentral:rRNA from 1 species